CCUACGGGUGGCUGCAGUGAGGAAUAUUGGUCAAUGGGCGCGAGCCUGAACCAGCCAAGUAGCGUGAAUGAUGACUGCCCUACGGGUUGUAAACUUCUUUUAUAAGGAAUAAAACGAUGCCCGUGUGCCUUUUUGAAUGUACUUCUUGCAUAAGGAUCGGCUAACGCCGUUCAAGCAGCUGCGGUAAUACGGAGGUUCCGACCGUUCUCCGGAUUUUUUGGGUUUAAUGGGUGCGUAGUUGGGUUGUUAAGUCAGUUGUGAAAGUUUGCGGCUCAACCGUAAAUUUGCAGUUGAUACUGGCAGUCUUGAGUGCAGUUGAGGUAGGCGGAAUUCGUGGUGUAGCGGUGAAAUGCUUAGAUAUCACGAAGAACUCCGAGUGCGAAGGCAGCUUACUAAACUGCCACUGACAUUGAGGCUCGAAAGUGUGGGGAUCAAACAGGAUUAGAUACCCCAGUAGUC
rnacentral:rRNA from 1 species